GUGCUCAGUGCGGCAGCACAUAUGCUGGAGCUGGAACAAUGCAGAGAAGAUCAGCAUGGCCUCUGCACAAGGAUGACAC
rnacentral:snRNA from 1 species